rnacentral:rRNA from 1 species
AGCAGUCGCCGCGGGAAUACAGAGGGUGCGAGCGUUAAUCGGAUUUACUGGGCGUAAAGCGUGCGUAGGCGGCUUCUUAAGUCGGAUGUGAAAUCCCUGAGCUUAACUUAGGAAUUGCAUUAGAUACUGGGAAGCUAGAGUAUGGGAGAGGAUGGUAGAAUUCCAGGUGUAGCGGUGAAAUGCGUAGAGAUCUGGAGGAAUACCGAUGGCGAAGGCAGCCAUCUGGCCUAAUACUGACGCUGAGGUACGAAAGCAUGGGGAGCAAACAGGAUUAGAUACCCCGGUAGUCCCUGUCUCUUAUAC